AACGUAGGACGCAAGCGUUAUCCGGAGUUACUGGGCGUAAAGCGCGAGCAGGCGGCUCGACAAGUUCGAUGUGAGAGCGCCCGGCUCAACCGGGCGAGGCCAUUGGAAACUAUCGAGCUGGAGGGCAGUAGAGGCAGGCGGAAUUCCGGGUGGAGUGGUGAAAUGUGUAGAGAUCCGGAGGAACACCAGAGGCGAAGGCGGCCUGCUGGGCUGCACCUGACGCUGAGCCGCGAAAGCCAGGGGAGCGAACGGG
rnacentral:rRNA from 1 species